AUAAAUAGUUAACUUUGAAACUGCGAAUGGCUCAUUAUAUCAGUUAUAGUUUAUUUGAUGAAGAAUACUAAUUGGAUAACCGUAGUAAUUCUAGAGCUAAUACAUGUAUAAAGUCUUGUAGACUGCAUUUAUUAGAAUGAAAACCAUAGGUUUCGGCCUAUUCGUGAGUAAUAAUAACUAAUCAUAUCGUAUGCUUAUGUAACGAUGUGUCUUUCAAGUUUCUGCCCUAU
rnacentral:rRNA from 1 species